GUCUACGGCCAUACCACCCUGAACGCGCCCGAUCUCGUCUGAUCUCGGAAGCUAAGCAGGGUCGGGCCUGGUUAGUACUUGGAUGGGAGGCCUGAUACAGUUAUUA
rnacentral:rRNA from 1 species